GUAAUAAUCCUGUAGUCGAAAAUGUUGUCUCUCUUGAGUGGAUCCUGAGUACGACGGAGCACGUGAAAUUCCGUCGGAAUCUGGGAGGACCAUCUCCUAAGGCUAAAUACUCUCUAGUGACCGAUAGUGAACCAGUACCGUGAGGGAAAGGUGAAAAGCACCCCGGAAGGGGAGUGAAAUAGAACCUGAAACCGUGUGCUUACAAGUAGUCAGAGCCCGUUAAUGGGUGAUGGCGUGCCUUUUGUAGAAUGAACCGGCGAGUUACGAUUUGAUGCAAGGUUAAGCAGUAAAUGUGGAGCCGUAGCGAAAGCGAGUCUGAAUAGGGCGUUUAGUAUUUGGUCGUAGACCCGAAACCAGGUGAUCUACCCUUGGUCAGGUUGAAGUUCAGGUAACACUGAAUGGAGGACCGAACCGACUUACGUUGAAAAGUGAGCGGAUGAACUGAGGGUAGCGGAGAAAUUCCAAUCGAACCUGGAGAUAGCUGGUUCUCUCCGAAAUAGCUUUAGGGCUAGCCUCAAGUGAUGAUUAUUGGAGGUAGAGCACUGUUUGGACGAGGGGCCCCUCUCGGGUUACCGAAUUCAGACAAACUCCGAAUGCCAAUUAAUUUAACUUGGGAGUCAGAACAUGGGUGAUAAGGUCCGUGUUCGAAAGGGAAACAGCCCAGACCACCAGCUAAGGUCCCAAAAUAUAUGUUAAGUGGAAAAGGAUGUGGCGUUGCCCAGACAACUAGGAUGUUGGCUUAGAAGCAGCCAUCAUUUAAAGAGUGCGUAAUAGCUCACUAGUCGAGUGACACUGCGCCGAAAAUGUACCGGGGCUAAACAUAUUACCGAAGCUGUGGAUUGUCCUUUGGACAAUGGUAGGAGAGCGUUCUAAGGGCGUUGAAGCAUGAUCGUAAGGACAUGUGGAGCGCUUAGAAGUGAGAAUGCCGGUGUGAGUAGCGAAAGACGGGUGAGAAUCCCGUCCACCGAUUGACUAAGGUUUCCAGAGGAAGGCUCGUCCGCUCUGGGUUAGUCGGGUCCUAAGCUGAGGCCGACAGGCGUAGGCGAUGGAUAACAGGUUGAUAUUCCUGUACCACCUAUAAUCGUUUUAAUCGAUGGGGGGACGCAGUAGGAUAGGCGAAGCGUGCGAUUGGAUUGCACGUCUAAGCAGUAAGGCUGAGUAUUAGGCAAAUCCGGUACUCGUUAAGGCUGAGCUGUGAUGGGGAGAAGAUAUUG
rnacentral:rRNA from 1 species